AAAAAACGUUGUACAGAGACUUCAAAGUGGAUGCCUUUAUGGGCGGCAGUCCAUCUGGAGCAGAUGGCCUCUCCCUUCACUGAGAUGGAGUUUUACACUAUUCUCUUCUCUCUGGUAGUGUUCAGUCUCUUUACCCUGCAUGGCCUAAUACAAGAGAGAUGUGUGCACACUACAGGCAGUGAAGACAUCAAAGAAAGACUUGAGGAGCCACUCAUCGUUUAAAUCCACCUGCAGACCAAUCUAGACUGAUUUCAUGCAACAUGGUCAAUCCAGGAUCAGAUGUGAUGAGUGGUGCUGUACACAUAACUUGCCCAGUAUGCUGCUUUCUUUAUUGCGCUUGAAACCUCAUCACCUGGACGGGAUCCGGCUCCUAACUCAGGGUGGAAGUGUGUGUGUAUGUGUGUGUGUGUGUUAUGGAUCUUCUAUUUUCAGGGUUUGAGUUGGUCUUCAUCAUCAUUGCUUUUACUGUCAUGUGCUUAUUUGGCCUGGCUGCAGUCUACACACAUAAUACAGACGAUCAAGAUGACCACACUCCGACAGAACAGAGGAUAACACAACAAAAGAACAAAUCAAAGAAAAAACGAAAUGUAACCAAAGUCAAUCAAGAGAUACCAUGAACACACUUCAUAGACCUACAGAAUCUCUCUGUUGGUACUCAUUGGAUAAACGGCCUGGCUCACCAAAUGCAGUUAAUUAGCAGACAAACUGUGUCUGAAGAUCUCUGUGACUGAAAAUAGACUUCAAUUCACCCUCAAGAUGCGAUUUCUCUCAGCUGUUUCUGAUUGGCUUGAAUGUAUGACCCCAGUAAGUAAUUAACCAGUAAAGAGGAUUUAUUGAAAUCGAAACCCCACCCCUUUCCCAACCUAAAACUGCUUAACAUUUGUAAUUCUUUUCUGGUGGAGCCUUUUUUGUUUCUUUCACUUUAUGCAUUUUGGGCAAAUUGCAUCUAAAAUCUCUGGGUGGACUUAGCUUAUGACUGUUAAAAUAUAGGAAAAUAUAUCGCUGGAUGUAUUUUGUGAAAAAAAA